UGGAGUAGCCAUGAGGUGCCUAAUGAGGUGAUUAGAAUGAUUAGGAUAAUGAGGCACUGAUGUGAGAGCCUGUGUUAUCCCACUGGGACUUCCAUCAAGGCACAGGAGACUGGAGGAUGCAGCCAGGCUCAGAGCAGCUUGGAAGGAUGGAGAUGAUGUUUCCAGAUCUCCCCUUGAUGCCACCAGGAUGCAGCUCUGCACUGGCACAGCAGGAGUCUGCUUUAGAGGGAAGGAAAUUCCAGGGUCCCAUCCUGCUGGACAGCUGGAGGAUGUUCCCACCAAAUGAUCAGCAGGUCGAGGAUGCUGCAUAAAACACUCAGCAGUGCCCCUUUAACAUGGAAGCAACUUGACUUUUAUUGCCAGUGCUGAAAGCAUCUACAAAUGUAGAUUUAGAAUCAGCCUCCAGGCUUAAGAUACAGCUGUUAUAUUUUCCUUUCUUCCUUUAAUUUUUUUCCCCCCUCUCCUUUGCACUAAUGUAAUGCUUAUUUAGGAACUACAGCCAUCUGUGGUUGCUAGGGAUGGCACUGUUAAAUUUGCUGUUGCUUUCUUUCCCCUGGUUUGAUGAGGCUCUGAGUGCACAGAGAAUUCCCCAGGACAGCAGAGACUUGCUUUGAUUGCUUUUUUUUUCCUUUUUGGAAACACAUCCCAAAGACAUUGUUCACAGGGCUCUGUCUGUGCUGGGAAAAGGUGGUCAGCUGGGGAGCUGAGAUCCUGCCUUGUCGUGGGUUAAUGAGGUGAGAUUAUGAGGAGCCAGGCAGCAGAAGAAGGUGAUGAAAUUGGAAGGGAUGGCAAAUAAAAAGGAAGGGAAGGAGGAAGGGCUGGGAGCAGAGCCCUUCCUGUUCCUCACAGCAGCCUGUGGUUAAUGGUGAGAGGAUUCACGUGCAAAUUGGGGCACUUGCAGCACUCAAGGGGAUUUUUUAGUGUUUAUCCAGUGAAAUGCUGUGCCUGAGCAGAUGGACAGGGAUCUACCCCGAGUGGGCAGUCUGGAGCUGGGCACAGCCCUGCACAGCAGGAUGGGUGUGAGGUGCUGCCAGCAGGGACUUGGCCCUUUGUGUCAGCCAAGGCAAAGUUGGAUUCUGCCUGUUGUGUCCCCGAGUUGCCUUCAAAUGCCUCGUGCUCGCCCUUGUGAGGAAAGGUAGAUCUUAAAAACUGCUAU